rnacentral:rRNA from 1 species
UAAUACCGGAUAGAUCAAAGAAACUGGAAUGUUCUUUGUUCGAAAGCUCCGGCGCCCAAGAAUGAGUCUGCGGCCUAUCAGGUAGUAGUGGGUGUAACCCACCUAACUAGCCUACGACGAGUAAGGGUUUUGAGAGCAAGAGUCCUGAGAUGGAUUCUGAGACAUGAAUCUAGGCCCUAAGGGGUGCAGCAGGCGCGAGAACUUUACACUGCGGAAACCCGAGAUAUGGGACCCAGAGUGCCAGCACCUAGUGCUGGCUGUCCAGCUGUUCAUAAAACAGUUAUUAGCAAGGGCCGGGCAAGACCGGUGCCUGCCGCCGCGGUAACACCGGCGGCUCCAGUGGUAGCCGUUAGUAUUGGGUUUUAAGGGUCCGUAGCCGCCCUUUUAAAUCUCUUGGGAAAUCUGGCGACUCAAUCGUCAGGCGUUC